rnacentral:rRNA from 1 species
CCUACGGGAGGCAGCAGUGAGGAAUAUUGGACAAUGGACGAAAGUCUGAUCCAGCUAUGCCGCGUGCAGGAUGACGGCCCUACGGGUUGUAAACUGCUUUUAUACAGGAAGAAACACCCCGACGUGUCGGGGCUUGACGGUACUGUAAGAAUAAGGAUCGGCUAACUCCGUGCCAGCAGCCACGGUAAUACGGAGGAUUCGAGCGUUAUCCGGAAUCAUUGGGUUUAAAGGGUCCGCAGGCGGUUUUUUAAGUCAGAGGUGAAAUCCUGCAGCUCAACUGUAGAAUUGCCUUUGAUACUGAAAGACUUGAGUUAUUGUGAAGUGGUUAGAAUGUGUGGUGUAGCGGUGAAAUGCAUANAUAUCACACAGAAUACCGAUUGCGAAGGCAGAUCACUAACAAUAUACU